AUUGAACGCUGGCGGCAGGCUUUACACAUGCAAGUCGGACGAGCGGCGGACGGGUGAGUAACAUAUCGGGACGUACCCGGUAGAGGGGGAUAACUACUAGAAAGAUUAGCUAAUACCGCAUAUUAUUGGAGCGGCCGAUAUGGGAUUAGCUAGUUGGUGGGGUAAAGGCUUACCAAGGCGACGAUCCGUAGCGGGUCUGAGAGGAUGAUCAGCCACACUGGGACUGAGACACGGCCCAGACUCCUACGGGAGGCAGCAGUGGGGAAUUUUGGACAAUGGGCGCAAGCCUGAUGCAGCCAUGCCGCGUGUAUGAAGAAGGCCUUCGGGUUGUAAAGUACUUUCGUCAGGGAGGCGUUACCCGCAGAAGAAGCACCGGCUAACUACGUGCCAGCAGCCGCGGUAAUUC
rnacentral:rRNA from 1 species